rnacentral:rRNA from 1 species
AUUGAACGCUGGCGGCAGGCUUAACACAUGCAAGUCGAGCGGGGGAAGGUAGCUUGCUACCGGACCUAGCGGCGGACGGGUGAGUAAUGCUUAGGAAUCUGCCUAUUAGUGGGGGACAACAUCUCGAAAGGGAUGCUAAUACCGCAUACGUCCUACGGGAGAAAGCAGGGGAUCUUCGGACCUUGCGCUAAUAGAUGAGCCUAAGUCGGAUUAGCUAGUUGGUGGGGUAAAGGCCUACCAAGGCGACGAUCUGUAGCGGGUCUGAGAGGAUGAUCCGCCAGACGGGGACAGAGACACGGCCCAGACUCCGACGGGAUGCAGAAGGGGGGAAUAUUGGACAAUGGGGGGAGCCCUGAUCCAGCCAUGCCGCGUGGGUGAAGAAGGCCUUAUGGUUGUAAAGCACUUUAAGCGAGGAGGAGGCUACUCUAGUUAAUACCUAGGGAUAGUGGACGUUACUCGCAGAAUAAGCACCGGCUAACUCUGUGCCAGCAGCCGCCGCUG